rfam:Ovis aries breed Texel chromosome 11, whole genome shotgun sequence.
GCCUUGGUGGUCCAAUGGUUAGGACUUGGUGCUUUCACUGCCAUGGCCCCAGGUUCAGUCCCUGGUCAAGAAA